rnacentral:lncRNA from 1 species
UUCUGCCUCUACCUCCUAAGUAUGGAAUAUGGCUAUGUGCCACUAUGUCCUGCUCAGGAUACUAGCCUUAUCUGUAGCUCUCAGAUCUAGAUAGAUGGCUAUCCACCAAACAGAUGGGUGUUUGGGUCUCCAAAGCAGACUAGACCAAAGUCAGAUGUUAAAGUAUCUCAGGCCUGGGGAGAUGGCUCAAUGGAUAAGAAUUCUAGCCAUGUAAGUUUGAGGAUCUGAGUUCAAAUCCCCAGGACCCAUGUAAAAGCCAGGUGCAGAGCAAGUGUUCAAAAUCCUAUGGGGAAGGUGAGAGAUGGAGAUAGAGAAAUCCCAAAGGCUGAUGGGCAAGGUAACCUGGCAUACACUUUGGAAGAACAAGAAAUCCCCUACAUCAAAAUGGAAGAAUGGACCCACAUCCUAUGUGGUCUUCUGACCUUCAUAUGUAUGCCAUGGCAUGUAUGUACCUGUGUCAACACACAUAUAGGUGUCUCGGCAAGGGACUCAUUGAAAAAUGAGCUCUCCCCUUGAUCUCUCCAGGAUCCUCUUGAGGUCCCUGGGCAUGCUCAUUUCUGAGUCCAGGUCUAGAAAAUGGGUGACCUACAACCCUAGGAAUGAUAAACUGAGAAACUGACAGCCAAGUACACAUCAGAAAUAGGACUGAUAGGUGUUAGGGGAUGAUAUAUUAAUAUUUAAUAAAUAAAUUCCUGCGGGGGUGGGUCACUACCUGCCUCAAUCGUUUAUGUUCCCAAAUGAAACAGCCUUUAUAUUUUAAUAUGCCCUAUGCAGCAAAAUAGCUGAACAGCUUCCUAGCCUCCAUGCUGCUAGAAUCUACCUCUCACUGAUAAUUCUGACUUACUACUUACUAAAUUCUAUGUUCUGUCUUGGCUGCUCUAGACCCAUAGGGCAGCCCUCUGGACUGCACUCUUCUGGCUCCUUCACAUGGUAACCAUGCCUCUCUGUCCUCCACUAUUCUCAGGCAUGGCAUGUCUCCUCUCCUCCACACUCUACCAGUGUGAUGUAUCUCUUCCUUCUCCUCCUGUUCCCACUCCCAAGCCCUGGAAAUCCUAAAAUCCUUCCUCUGCCUGUCCUCCCCAGCUAUUGGCUGCUGGCAUCUUUAUUUACCAAUCAGAACCAACUAGGGACAAGUUCCCAGAAGCUAUGCGCAGACCCUCUUGUGAGAACAGUUUGGGGAGACACACAAAUUAGCAUUAGAAUGCAAGUAGCUACAAGGGAGUGGGAUCCUGUUUCUCCCAUGCCUUGUAUGCUUUAGGUUGCAUAAUAUUAAAUUUCAGCUUCCAUGCCUGAGGGGUGGCUCAGCAGUUAAGAGUAUAUACUACUUGCGGUGAUUUGAAUGAGAAUAUUCUCUGUAGACUCUGGGAUGUGAAUACUUGUUCUCUAAGGAGGUGUGGCCUUAGAGAAAGAAUAUCAUUGAAGGGAGGCUUUGAGAGCUUAAAGAGUCAUUUUUUAAAAAAAGAUUUAUUUAUUUAUUAUGUGUAAGUACACUGUAGCUGUCUUCAGACACUCCAGAAGAGGGUGUCAGAUUUCGUUAUGGAUGGUUGUGAACCACCAUGUGGUUGCUGGGAUUUGAACUCAGGACCUUCAGAAGAGCAGUCAGUGCUCUUAACCGCUGAGAUAUCUCACCAGCCCCACGAGUCAUUUUUUUUUUUUUAAGAGUCAUUAUUUUAAGGUUGUUUCCCCUGUGUCCUCUUUGUGGUUCAGGAUAUAAGCCCUCUACUCUCAGCUUGUAGCUGCAGCUGCCAUGCUGCCACACUAGCCCCUUCAUCAUGAACUCUAACCUUCUGGAACCAUACGCACCCCCCCCCCCAAAAAAAAACUUUCUCUCUGUAAGUUGCCUUGGUCAUGGCGUUUUACUGUAGCAGUGGAAAAAAUAACUAAGAUAUUGCUCCAUCAGACCUCUGGCAUUGGAUCACCUACAUUGAGUGAUACACAUAUGCCUUAACUCCAGCUGUUGGCAACCCAAUACCCCUCUUGCUUCUGUAGACACUGGUGCACAUAUGUGCACAUACACACAUAAGUUUUGUUUUGUUUUGUUUUGCUUUGCUUUAAGUUCCUGUUUCAGGCUGGAGAAAUGGCUCAGCAGUUGGCAUUGGCUGCUCAUUGAGAGGUCCCAGGUUCCAUUUCUAGCAGCCACAUGGUGAUUCAUAACCUUCUGUAACUCCAGUUCCAGGUAACUUGUUGGUGUUUUCUGGCCUUCAUGGGCACCAGGCACGGACAUGAUGCACAGGCAGGCAUGCAUGCAAGCCAAACACCCAUAUCUUUAAAACAAAACAAGACAAGACAAAAACAAAACAAAACACCUUUUCUUUUCUAAUGCCAGAUUCAUACAUAAAAACACAGCAAAUAGGAACUUGAACCAUUCAGAGUCAUUUGCGUUUUGUGUGUUCUGUUUUAGUUUUUUGAGAUGAAGAUAGCCUGGCUCUUAGCAGGUUGGCUUCAUAGCAAUCCUCACGCCUAAGCCUCUGGGUUCAGAGAAUGAAGGUGGGUAUGUACUGCCUUGCCUUGCUACGCAUGUGGUUUAGGAUUUUUGGGUUUUAAAGUCUUUUAGCUUAGAUGACUGAUGUAUCAUGUGACUACUGUUUGUGAAGCAGGAAAAUUGCUUCUCCUAACUUUCGUGUGCCAUGUGUUAGUCAGGGUAAGUCAGAUCAUGCUGCAGUAACAAGUUAAUGCAGUCCCAAAUCUCUAAUGGAAAGGCUCAUUUCAUUUAUUAUUAAAUUUAUUUAUUUAUUUAUUUGUAUACAGAGUUGUACCUUUUACUUAAGAAACAAUUUUUUUCUCACUUGGGGCUGAAAAGUUUGCGAGGUGGUUAAGAGUGCUUGCUGCUCUUAGAGGACGAGAGUUCUGUACCAAGCACCUACAUGAAGGCUCAUAAUCAGUCACAAUCUGGGUUCUGGGGAAUCUAAUGUCCUCUUCAAGCCCAUGUACCUGUGCAUAAAUACAUCCAGGCAAAACACUCGUACACAUCG